AACUCCCAUUGCCUCAUGCAUGAUUUUCCAUUCCAAAGAGCAAUGAAAGUCGCUGUCAAAAUGAAAAUAAAGUGCUGAAACUGAAACUGCUGUCAAUGUGGAGAAAAGGAAAAAACUCAAAAACGUGCCAUCUUGAGACUGUAAUGGAUUCUUAGUAUUACAUGUAUUGUGCAUAACAUACAUCUUCUAAAUAAGCCACAGUGCUAUAAUGUUAUGUUUGUUUCCACAGCUCACAUGACAUAAGCAUUGCAGCGGAGGACAUCGAAGAGAAUGGUUUCAAUGACCUCUUGAACAGCCUAGUAUUUCUUAAUGACAUUUUUUACUAUUUAGCAUUCUCUUUGUUCUAUAAAGGCCAUGUUUUCUGAAUAUGUCUUUCAUUACAGAAUUGACUGGCUCUCAUCAAAAGAGGCCAAAGAGAGGGAGGACAGUUCUAAGCUGGGCUAUUGCAUGCUGUAGGCCUUUCUCUACACACCCUGGGACUCUGCAUUGUGUUUCUCUGGUGGAGGUGGUGAGAGAGAGAGACAGCUAAAGCCCAAGACAACUUAAGGGGCCACUAUUCCAUGCAGCUGGUGUUGUGGAAUGCUCCAGUUUGAAGGUUACAAUGCAUCCUUGGAAAGCACAACUGAGUCAUGGGGCCUAUCAGGCACAGCCCCCAG